GGUCUCUUAGUUUAACGGUAAAACAGUAGAUCUUCACUUACUAACAGGAGUUCGAUUCUCCUAGAGAUCA
rnacentral:tRNA from 1 species